UGGGGAGUCGUCUAAUGGCAGGACAGCGGACUCUGACUCCGCCGGUGAUGGUUCGAAUCCUUCCUCCCCAG
rnacentral:tRNA from 2 species